GAGACAGCAGCAGCCACGGGAAUACGUAGGUGGCAAGCGUUGUCCGGAAUUAUUGGGCGUAAAGGGCUCGCAGGCGGUUUCUUAAGUCUGAUGUGAAAGCCCCCGGCUCAACCGGGGAGGGUCAUUGGAAACUGGGAAACUUGAGUGCAGAAGAGGAGAGUGGAAUUCCACGUGUAGCGGUGAAAUGCGUAGGGAUGUGGAGGAACACCAGUGGCGAAGGCGACUCUCUGGUCUGUAACUGACGCUGAGGAGCGAAAGCGUGGGGAGCGAACAGGAUUAGAGACCCCCGUAGUCCCUGUCUCUUAUAA
rnacentral:rRNA from 1 species